rnacentral:rRNA from 1 species
CCUACGGGAGGCAGCAGUGGGAAAUAUUGGACAAUGGGGGCAACCCUGAUCCAGCCAUGCCGCGUGUGUGAAGAAGGCCCUCGGGUUGUAAAGCACUUUCAGUGAGGAAGAACGCCUGGUGGUUAAUACCCAUCAGGAAAGACAUCACUCACAGAAGAAGCACCGGCUAACUCCGUGCCAGCAGCCGCGGUAAUACGGAGGGUGCGAGCGUUAAUCGGAAUUACUGGGCGUAAAGCGCGCGUAGGUGGCUUGAUAAGCCGGUUGUGAAAGCCCCGGGCUCAACCUGGGAACGGCAUCCGGAACUGUCCAGCUAGAGGGCAGGAGAGGAAGGUAGAAUUCCCGGUGUAGCGGUGAAAUGCGUAGAGAUCGGGAGGAAUACCAGUGGCGAAGGCGGCAUUCUGGACUGACACUGACACUGGGGUGCGAAAGCGUGGGUAGCAAACAGGAUUAGAUACACUUGUAGUA